GGAGAAACCCCAUCUCUACUAAAAGUACAAAAAUUAGCCGGGCAUGGUGGCAAGCGCCUGUAAUCCCAGCUACUUGGGAGGCUGAGGCAGGAGAAUCGCUGGAACCCGGGAGGUGGAGGUUGCAGUGAGCUGAGAUCAUGCCACUGCACUCCAGCCUCGGUGACAGAGGCAGACUCCGCCUCAAAGAAAAAUAAAUCUUCUGUAAUAUCUCAUCAUAGUAUUAAUUUCCAUCAUGUCCUUAUUGACAUUUCCCUAUCCUCAGGGGAAUGUUCUUUCAUGACUUUUGCCCAUUUUCUAAUUUAAAGCUUUGGAUUUUUAAUACUAUCUUUUGAGAAUUAUGUAAAUAUUCUAGCCAUAAGUCCAAUGUUGGAUAUGAGAUUUGAAAACAAAGGGCCGGGCAUGGUGGCUCACACCUAUAAUCCCAGUACUUUGGGAGGCAGAGGCGAGCAGAUUACCUGAGGUCGGGAAUUCGAGACCAGCCUGACCAACAUGGAGAAACCUCAUCUCUACUAGAAAUAACAAAAAAAUUAGGCGGGCGUACUGGCACAUGCCUGUAAUCCCAUCUAUUUGGGAGGUUGAGGCAGGAGAAUCACUUGAACCCGGGAGGCAGAGGUCGCAGUGAGCCGAGAUCGUGCCACUGCACUCCAGCCUGGGUGAGAAUCCGUCUCAAAAAAAAAACCCAAAAAAAAAAAUUUUAUUUAAAUGCAUGUAAAUACAUUCAUCAACUGAUGAACAAAAGGUGGUACAUUCAUAUAUAGAUUAUUCAAUCAUAAAAAGGAAUUAAGUACAAAUUAUAUGCUACAGUAUGGAUGAAUGUUGAAGAUGUUAUGCUAAAUGAAAGAAGUCAGACACAAGAGAUCACAUAUUACAGUUGACCCCUGAACAUGGUUUUGAACUGCGUGGGUCCACUUUUAUGUAUUUUUUUUCAGUAAAAGUUACACCAGGUAUGUCUGCCUCUCCUGCCUCCUCCAUCUUUUCCACCUCUACCACUCCCUAGACAGCAAGACCAACCCCUCCUCUUCCUCAGCCUACUCAACAUGAAGACAAAAAGGAUGAAGACCUUCAUGAUGAUCCACUUACAUUUAAUGAAUCGUAAAUAUACUCUCUCUUCCUUCUGAUUUUUAAUAACAUUUUCUUCUCUAGCUAAUUGCAAGAAUAUAGUAGAUAAUAAAUUACCAUAGAAAGUAUGUGUUAAUUGACUAUGUUAUUGGUAAGGCUUCCAGUCAACAGUAGGCUAUUAGUUAAGUUUUGGUGGAAUUAAAAAUUUUAUGCAGAUUUGACUGUAUGAGGGGUUGGUGACCCUAACCCCCCCAUUCCUCAAGGGUCUACUAUAUAUGAUCCCACUUGUAUACAAUAUUCAGAACAGGCAAAUCCAUAAACAGAAAGCAAAUUAGUAGCCAUGGGAUAGAGGGCAAAGGGAAUGAGUACAGGGUUUCUUUUAGAAGUGAUUAAAAUCUGUUGGAACUAGACAGCAGUGAUGGAUGCACAACACUGUGAAUGUAUGAAAUGCCACUAAAUUGUAUACUUUAAAAUGGCUAAAACACUAAUGUGUAUUGUGCCACAAUUAAGUAAAAAAAUACUAUAAAGUGAAAAGAAAAGUAGCUAACUGAAAAAAAUAUCUGCAGGCCGGGUGCAGUGGCUCAUGCCUGUAAUCCCACCACUUUCGGAGGCCAAGGCGGGCGGAUCAAAAGGUCAAGAGAUCGAGACCAUCCUGGCCAACAUGGUAAAACCCCAUCUCUACUAAAAAUACAAAAAUUAGCUGGGCAUGGUGCCACACGCCUGUAGUCCCAGCUACGCGGGAGGCUGAGGCAGGAGAAUCGCUUGAACCUGGGAGGCGGAGGUUGCAGUGAGCCAAGAUCGUGCCACUGCACUCCAGCCUGGCGACAGAGCAAGACUCCAUCUCAAAAAAAAAAAAAGUCUGCAAUAUUAUAACAAAAAAAGGCGAAUUUCCUUAAUUUAUGAAGAGUGUCUACAAUAAGAAAAAGUCCAAACACCAAUUUUUUUUUUACAGGACCAAGAAUAUUAACAAAUAGUUCACCCAAAAAAAAUACCUUUCAAAUGGAUAAAAAAAAAAAGUUCAAAUAUCUUUAACACUGACAUUCUCCGUUUCCCCUUCAAUUUUCUCACAACUGGCAUUCUUAUCUCUUUCACUGGAUAGGGGAGAGUUUUUAAUGCUCAGUUUUAGAUCCCCUGGUUUGCUUUCCUGAUACUGGAAAUGCUGCCAUGGUAUAGCUGGC
rnacentral:lncRNA from 1 species